ACCCGGUCCUGUACGACAUUGGGUGCGCGUUCUACUGGGACCGCACCUCCAAGGAGGAGGCAUGGGUGAAGGUGGCCCAUGAUGUCAGGCUUUCUGGUAAGUUUGUUUGUUUAUUUAUUUCAGUAAGCAGACUAUUUUCUGAAAACAUAGCAAACUUCCCCUGCUUGUUAGGCUACAUGUUUCAACAUGUGUGUGUCUUUGCAGUGGAUGUGUGCCGCAAGUGCUGGAAGGGGCUGCGGGAUGUAUAUAUGAGGGAGAAAAGGAGGCAGAAGGAAGGUGGGAGAAGUGGGUCCAAAGCUGCAGCCGCGUCCUGUGACCUCCGCGACUGCAGCUUUGGACCCGGUGUGAACACACCAGGGCGCGACGUGACGGGAAUACAGCUACCAACGCGACUAGGUCGCUUCAGGUCGCGUAUGGUCUGAACAUGGCUGUACAGAACUAGUAUUAGAAAGUGG